rnacentral:rRNA from 1 species
UAGGGAAUCUUCGGCAAUGGACGGAAGUCUGACCGAGCAACGCCGCGUGAGUGAAGAAGGUUUUCGGAUCGUAAAGCUCUGUUGUUAGAGAAGAACGUUGGUAGGAGUGGAAAAUCUACCAAGUGACGGUAACUAACCAGAAAGGGACGGCUAACUACGUGCCAGCAGCCGCGGUAAUACGUAGGUCCCGAGCGUUGUCCGGAUUUAUUGGGCGUAAAGCGAGCGCAGGCGGUUCUUUAAGUCUGAAGUUAAAGGCAGUGGCUUAACCGUUGUACGCUUUGGAAACUGGAGGACUUGAGUGCAGAAGGGGGGAGUGGAAUUCCAUGUGGAACAGUGAAAUGCGUAGAUAUAUGGAGGAACACCGGUGGCGAAAGCGGCUCUCUGGUCUGUAACUGUCGCUGAGUCUCGAAAGCGUGGGGAGCAAACAGG